AAAAAAAAGGGGAGAAAGAUAGAGAGAGCUGAAGUUGAGACGAGCUGAAGUUGAGACGCUAAUCAGCUGCCCUUAGGAAUCCAAUAAUAUGAUUCUCACCGGUUUCGAGAACCCUCAUCAGGCAGGUGGUACUUUUCACCUUCGGCCAACCUUCUACCAGUGGAGCCAUUUGUCACUUUGUUCGAGGGGCGGCAAAUAAGUACUUUAGUCAAUUUUUGUACAUUAUAUGCAUAUACUUAUAAAGUUUCAUUGAGGUCUGAGGGUGUCAUAACACCUCCACGAGUACACCUAGAUUCGCCCCUGUCCGAGCGGAUAAGUUCUUUCCUGUUAAAUUGAAUCUAUACCCUAUUACAAAAAUUAUUUGUUAUUGAAUCUAAAUCAGAACAUAUAUUUCACGUGUAAAAUCAUUAUGUUGAUCUUUUUUCCUUGAGAGAUCAAAAUAUGAACUUUUUUGAGAAUAAUAAUAUGAUCUUUUUUGAGAAUAAUAAAACUUUAUCAAACUAAAAUAGAUCUUUUUCCCUUUUUAUAAUUCACAUGUAAAAUCAUUCACCUUAAUGUUGAAGCAAAAUUUUGACAGAGAUAUUUGGCAGGUCAUUUUGGUCAGAAG
rnacentral:lncRNA from 1 species